GAUGAACGCUGACAGCAUGCUUAACACAUGCAAGUCAACUUGAAUUUGGGUUUUUAACUUAGGUUUGGGUGGCGGACGGGUGAGUAACGCGUAAAGAACUUGCCUCACAGCUAGGGACAACAUUUGGAAACGAAUGCUAAUACCUAAUAUUAUGAUAAUAGGGCAUCCUAUAAUUAUGAAAGCUAUAAGCGCUGUGAGAGAGCUUUGCGUCCCAUUAGCUAGUUGGAGAGGUAACGGCUCACCAAGGCGAUGAUGGGUAGCCGGCCUGAGAGGGUGAUCGGCCACAAGGGGACUGAGACACGGCCCUUACUCCUACGGGAGGCAGCAGUGGGGAAUAUUGGACAAUGGACCGAGAGUCUGAUCCAGCAAUUCUGUGUGCACGAUGAAGUUUUUCGGAAUGUAAAGUGCUUUCAGUUGGGAAGAAACAAAUGACGGUACCAACAGAAGAAGUGACGGCUAAAUACGUG
rnacentral:rRNA from 1 species